rnacentral:rRNA from 1 species
AUGAAAACGAAGAGGAAAUAUGAAAACGGAAACGGAAAUUUGCAAAAUGGAAGUGGAAAUGGAACUUUUUUUGCCGAAACGGAAACAAAAACGAAAGUUUUUUCCGGUGGAACAGACGUGGAAAUGAAACUUUUCGUUUUGGAGAAUAUGGGAUUUCUGUUUUUAAUACAGGCAUAUGGGUGCUUUGUAGCCAACCACCAAACAACACAUGAUGACACAAUGAGCAUAUAUAAUGGAUCAUUUGAAAUCCAACUUCCACUAUCACACAUGUACUCAACUAGACCCUAUACACGAUUGUCCAGUACUAUUACAAUAUUACACUAA